GAGUUUGAUCAUGGCUCAGGAUGAACGCCAGCGGCAGGCUUAACACAUGCAAGUCGAGGGGUAAGGCUUUCUUCGGAGAGUACACGACCGGCGCACGGGUGAGUAACGCGUAUGCAAUCUACCUAUAACUGAGGGAUAGCCCAGAGAAAUUUGGAUUAAUACUUCAUAAUAUCAAUUUAAGGCAUCUUUUUUUGAUUAAAGCUCCGGCGGUUAUAGAUGAGCAUGCGUCCCAUUAGUUAGUUGGUAAGGUAACGGCUUACCAAGACAUCGAUGGGUAGGGGGUCUGAGAGGAUGAUCCCCCACACUGGUACUGAGACACGGACCAGACUCCUACGGGAGGCAGCAGUGAGGAAUAUUGGUCAAUGGACGCAAGUCUGAACCAGCCAUGCCGCGUGCAGGAUGACGGCCCUAUGGGUUGUAAACUGCUUUUAUACGGGAAAAAUUCCUCCGACGUGUCGGAGGUUGAUGGUACCGUAAGAAUAAGCAUCGGCUAACUCCGUGCCAGCAGCCGCGGUAA
rnacentral:rRNA from 1 species